rnacentral:rRNA from 1 species
AAAUUGAAGAGUUUGAUCAUGGCUCAGAUUGAACGCUGGCGGCAGGCCUAACACAUGCAAGUCGAACGGUAACAGGAAGCAGCUUGCUGCUUCGCUGACGAGUGGCGGACGGGUGAGUAAUGUCUGGGAAACUGCCUGAUGGAGGGGGAUAACUACUGGAAACGGUGGCUAAUACCGCAUAACGUCGCAAGACCAAAGAGGGGGACCUUCGGGCCUCUUGCCAUCAGAUGUGCCCAGAUGGGAUUAGCUUGUUGGUGAGGUAACGGCUCACCAAGGCGACGAUCCCUAGCUGGUCUGAGAGGAUGACCAGCCACACUGGAACUGAGACACGGUCCAGACU